AAAAGGCGCACAUGGUCAGUGGUGAUGGAGACUGGCCUUUUCCUCUUCCUCCCGAAACCAAGACACAUACACAUACCCCCACAAUUGGUCUGUCUCUUGGUGCAAGACAGAAGGAGGUAUGAGGUGGCUGGCUGUGAUGCAGGCUGGACACUCCUCCUAUGGGGAGUCUGGAAAGCUCGACCCAGUGAUGGAAAAGCCUUGCCUCUAAGCAUGGGGCUCGGCUGGGGAGUCUCUUCCCUCCAUUCCCCCCAACUCUACCAAGAACACAGGACGUGUGCCCACCUGGCCAAAGGCAAAGCCCCAUCCUGGCAGAGCUCAGAAGCCAAGACCACUCAGUAACUUGGCUGGCCCUGGUUUUAGGGCUAGAGAAGGUGUUACACACGGAUGGUCCAGAAUUUCAGUUCUUUUAAACGGGAUGGAACCUUGAAGGCCAGUGGCUCCAGCCUCAAGUCAUCCUCAUGAGAAAACCUAGACUCAGAAAGCUUUUUGCCCCUCAGGCUCCAGAGACGAAAGAGCCAGACCUGGAUCCCAGAACCUGCUAGACAGUCUCUGAGCUUGUCACCCGGUUCCAGAUCAGUACUUUGGUCAUAAGGGAUCACUGUCCAGAAAAACCUUAAUGGAGGUGGUUUGGGGUAAAAAAACAAAACAAAAUAAAAAAAAAAAAACCACCUGUUUUCUUAAUAGAAAAGCAACUCUCGGCGUGCCCAUCAGCAGCAGAUCUGUAUACAAAGGGUGGGUUCAUGUCUCAACGCCAAAUCACCACAUGCACCCUGGUGUCAGAGCCCAGAGAGAAGACAGCACGUCUACAGUGGGUUCGGCCACGCUUGCAGGCCCUUCUCUUUCCCCCUCCCUCCCAGAAGCAACUCAACCCUGUGCCCUGCCCCCUCCCGUAGCCCUCCUCCCCUGGAGGCCCCACCCCUGCCUUCCUAGACUGUGCUUCUACCCACAGGCAGCAGGGGAGACUGGGGUGAUUCUGGCCUUUCUGAACUACAAGCACGAGAGAGGCUGUGUGCCUGAAUGUGAACGCGCUUCAACUGUGUGUUCUGAGUGUGUGUUUGCGUGCACACACGGGAACAUAUGGAAAAACAAGAGAGGGACAAGGGCUCCGAGCAGAAGUGCAGGGAAUUUCUGGAGCAACCCCAGAAAAGUGCUGAAUCGGCCUGAAAUUCCUUUAAGGUUGUCCCCACCCCCCUUCCCAAUUUCCCUUUAAGCAUAAAAAUCUACCCUUUAAGAGGAAAAGGGGGGAGGCGGUGAGGAAAAGGGGGGAGGCAGUGAGGAGAAGGGGAAGGACUUUGCACUUGCAUUAGGGAAGACCACUUAACAAGGAGCUCCCUGCCUCGCACAAAGAGUUAUUUAAUUACCCUGGUCAUGAAUGAACAGACCAGACCCUUCUAGAAGACCAGAGGCUCAUGAAUGAACCUCACGCCUGGAAUGGCAACGGCACAGGGUGACCAGACCUCAAGGCCACACGGUAGGUAAGAGAGGAAUUUUUUAUUUGAAGAUGUGAGGAGAUGAAGAAAAGAAAAAACUGGAGGGGCAGAGAAAAGGCCAAGUUCAAUGGUACCAUGUCCAGUCUCCAGCUUAGGAAGGUGACCAUAACGCCAGAGAGGCAGAGCUGUUCCAAAGCACCCAGGGGGAUUCUGCGAGCAUCUGAAGUGAGGCCACCGCACCCGAGCUGGGUCCACAGACAGAAGGGGUGCUGAUGCGGGGGGUGGGGUGGGGGGGGGGGGCGCGGGUCUGAAUUUUCACAACAAGGAUGCUCUUGGGAAACUUAGACAGCAGAGUCACGGCAGCAGGCACCCACUGAGCCCGACGUGCCCACUGCCAGGGGCUGCAGCGGGCUGGAAUGCUCCUCUCUGAGAGGCACUUGGGUUAUAAAGAAAUUAACCUCUCUUAUCCAACAUUCUCGUUACCCAACAGUGGGAUGGGUCUGCGAGCCACCACUGCCCCCCCCCGCCCCAUCCUGCCCCUGCAGUGGUCCAGCGGAGCAGGCAGCUGGGGAUGGAACCCAGGCCACGGAGGGCAACCCUGGGACGCAAACAUGACCACGCCUCGCCCUCAGGUCCAGGGUCCUCCCUCCUCGGGACUCCCGGCGCCACCAAGGGUUGCCUCAUCCUGUCCUCCCCCUAAGCAGUCAUCCCAAAGGUUAACAGCUCCCGUCAGCCUGGGUCCCCACCCUGGGCAGGAAACUGGCUGUUCUGAGAGCGGCCAGCCCACUCCAGGGACAAGGACUGAGAUAAUAGUGCCAACCCAUCCAAUCUCACCCCCAACACAAUUAACGAAAAGUUUCUCACUGGUUUUCCGUUUUCGGGAAGCAAAUGGCCCAAAAACUAAAGCAAACACAUAAACGCUUGCCGCACCGUCUGAGCUCAGUCUGGGUUCUGGGGUCAGCUCUAAUCAGCCACGUUUACAACCUCAUCCGGAACUUGAAAGAUGACGUCAGAGCCGCUCCCCUAGACUCUGGGGGCAGCAAAGACAGCUCUGGGGAUUAGCGCAAGCUCCCCAUGAAGGUUGAAACUAAUUCAAAAUGUUUCAGGUUAACUCUCAGGUACCUGGCAAACGCUGAGUCCAGACCCAUCACCACUACCCCAAGCUCUUACAUCAAAGGGAUCAAGAAUGAAUUCUGGCUGGAAGAAGGCAAAAGGAAAAAGUUGGAUUUUUUUUUUCUUCCCAGAGCUCGGCAAUGAGGUUCUCCACUGAGGUGGCUGGACUUGGGGAUGGGCAGGGGGUCCCAACGGCUCUCCUUCAAGGGCCAGGGCGCUUCUUCAGAUCCCUGGGCCCAACCUCCCAGCUAUGGAGUCAGACAUCUCCCUUCAAAUCUGCCUCCCAAGCUUCCCUAAAAGCGGAGCUCCCAGUAGUGGCCUCACUGGUGUUAAGACAAUUUGCUAGAAGUCAGGAGAGGUCAGGGCCUGGCCAGCAGCCACACUGGAGGUGCUCAACUCUUAGGGGGCGUAUCAUCUCGGAAGUUUUCCAAGUGCUCAGAAAAUGCGGACCACACCUCACCCCACCCCCACCUCACCCCAAAUGGGAGAAGGGUUCUGGGGUGACAAUUUACACCUAGUGAGCAGUUACUAUGUAGAGCCCUGCUGGAAAGGGGCUCACAGAGAGGGGACCCCGCGAGGCUGCAUGGUGUUAGCAUCCCGAUGUUGAGGGAGGGGCAAGGAGGCAGGUGGAGGCACCCAUCAUCUGGGUUCAAGGCCAGAACACAGCCUUGUGUGAGCUGUGGGUGGGCAGCCACCUCAGGCCUCUAAAGCCACACCAGUUCUCUCCAAACGCCAGAGGGAAAAACAAGUGUCCUUCAGAGCCCACUUUGUUAACGCUAUGCCUACUCUGUUCCCAAGUGCGGGGUCCGGCUCCCUCGCACCAAGAAGCCAGGAGUGAAAAGACUUCUUUGCCUACAAGUCGUUGCUCUGUGACCUUGGUCAAGUGGCUUUGCCCCAUCAAGAGUCGCAGUCUGACCUGCCCACAGCUAACAAGAAGGGUAGAGAAACCGUCCAAAGAUGUGGAAAAAUCCAGCGAGAAACAAAAGUCCUUUUCAUCCCUCCCCUCCCCCAGCUCCCCUUGUUCCAUAACAAUUAUGAAAACUGUUGGACGGGAUGGCAUUUUGAACAUUUACUGCAUUCCGGCCAAUAAAUUCCAAUGCUGGAUCUGAUGGAAAAGCCUUCCUCUCCGGCCAGCUCCCUGGCUCCCCGCCCCCUGCUCACUCCCAGCACUCAUUCCUUCUUUCUUUACAACCCAACAGCAGGGCCAGGCCAGGGCCGCACUGUACUUGCAGGGAAAAACAACAGUUCGACAGAGAGGAGACAGUGUGCAGACAGGAAAAGUUAAUCAUUACUUCUGUCUGCCUCCGUAAUCUAAUCUCCCUGGCUUUGACACACUCACUGCUCAGCGAUCUCAGCCCUUUCACCCCCAAAGCACCCAGGACACCUCCCAGGCCUGAG